rnacentral:tRNA from 1 species
GAGGGUAUAGCUCAAUGGUAGAGUGUGUGUCUAGCAUGCACGAGGUCCUGGGUUCAAUCCCUAGUAACUCUG